UCGUACAACCGAGGCCUCCGGGCUGUCGCUGACCUUCCAAGGUUGUGCACGCCCGAGCGCUCUCACACAAUCCAUCUCACCCCUUUGUGCAUCACCGCGUGGGUCUUCCCUUUGCGGGGAGGGCCUGCGUUUUCACAUAAAACCCGAUACAGUGUAGAGUGUUUAUUUUUGCGGUCAUACGCAAUCAAUA
rnacentral:misc_RNA from 1 species